GCACAAGCGGUGGAGUAUGUGGUUUAAUUCGAUGCAACGCGAAGAACUUACCUGGUCUUGACAUCCCGGAGACCCUUAGGAAACUAGGGGGUGCUUCCAUCUGGAAGAAUCUGGAGACAGGUGCUGCAUGGCUGUCGUCAGCUCGUGUCGUGAGAUGUUGGGUUAAGUCCCGCAACGAGCGCAACCCUUGCCUUUAGUUGCCAGCAGUUCGGCUGGGCACUCUAAAGGGACUGCCGGUGUUAAACCGGAGGAAGGUGGGGAUGACGUCAAGUCCUCAUGGCCUUUAUGGCCAGGGCUACACACGUACUACAAUGGCCGAUACAAAGGGCAGCGACACUGCGAGGUGAAGCCAAUCCCGUAAGAUCGGUCUCAGUCCGGAUUGGAGUCCGCAACUCGACUCCAUGAAGUUGGGAUCGCUAGUAAUCGUGGAUCAGCAUGCCACGGUGAAUACGUUCCCGGGCCUU
rnacentral:rRNA from 1 species